ensembl:lncRNA
GGAGGGACCCCCUUCUAGGUGUGAAAGAUGCCACCCCGGCUCCUUGGGGUAUGGAAAGCAACAUAUAAAGGUUCGAAACUCAGGAAACCCCAGCGCUCGCCUGCACUAGCACAUACACACAGCCCCGCGCACACUCAGUUCGCGCCCGCCCUUCCUCCCUCCCUGAUUUGCUUCUGGGAAAACAAGCCUUGAGAGCGGCGGACUCGCCCCGAGUCACGGUGCUUAAGCAGGAGUCCCUGGUAGAAAGACUGAAAAAUCCCUUCCCCGCUCGAUGGUGGAUUCAUAUCCUGUGCGGCCUCUAGGAAGCGCUAGACACAUGCUUGCUUCAGAAAGUCACACAUCUUCCCAUGUCACCUGACAAUACAAGGGACUUCAAGGACAUACAGAAGAACAGAGUCCUUGGUCUCUGAAUGACCCUGUGGAAGGAUACUCACUGGCCAGAAGUAGUCCUUCCAGACUUUGAAUGACAAAUCAACUUCAUUGUGCUGGUCCACUGGGAUUUUGGAGUAAAGAUGGCAAUAUCUUCUAAUUCCACUUGGUGUUUAGGAUGCCCUUCAUAAGAAGAAACCCUGGGUCAAAGUUGAGGCUUAUGUUCUGGCUUUCCCAGCUUGAAAAGAAAGAAACUUGUAUACUGUCACCUUCCUAUUGAGGGUGCAAACUUCAUGAGUUGUGAUCCUAUCACCUGGCCCUUGAAAGAAGUCCUCUGGAAGAGCUGAGGCACAGAGAUGAUUCCCAGUGAAGCUCAAAGUCGUUCAUGGAGAUGUUAUUGGAUUGCGCUGGGGACCGCAGUUCCUUGAUAAUGAGUAAUUGUUUGCUCAAGCUUUAGCCAAGUGUAAAUAUAAAUAUAACCGGGAUGGUUUACCCGUCCAUUGCCAUCCAUGCACUACUGUACCGAGUGCUGUGGCUGACGUGAGAACUGAAUGCAUGGAGCUGCAAUGGUGGACUCCAGGCCUGCUUCGUCAUCGUCAGAUAUGUCAUUUAACAGCUGAGCCUCGCUUUCCUCACAUGAAAAAUGAUUGCGAUGAUUGAUAUUUACCUCAGAGAAUUUAAAUGGGACUGCCACCGUACCUAUGGGAAAGUCACUGCUGAACUGGUGACAUUUCUGUAUAUAUGUAUGUUAUUUAGUGUUUAUAUAUUUAUACGUGGAUUCCUGAAAUAGCAGUUCCGCAGAGUUGAGCAUUAGAAAACAGCUGGUCUUUUGCAAGGCCCAGUUUGAGGCAGACCAUACAAGCUGCUAGAAUACCCUGGCCACAGUGUUAAGACAAAACUGAAAGAAACACAAACUGAAAGAGAUUUGAAUGAGGAAAUACACCCACACUUACAUGCUAACAGCUAAUAGGGGACUUUACUUUGAAGCUAGCCAAGGUUGCUUGACAGAAGGCUGAGAAAAGAUGAGGCUGCUGAGUGAAGCCAGAGAGAUUAUGCUCAAAGUCAAGUAGAUACCAUACAAUAAGCUUUUCCAAGGUCUAUCAUCUUGGGAGGAAAAACAAACCAAACCAAAACCCUUAUAUUGCUGUCUUCCCACUGGUCAGCAGACUUUCAGUAACUCUGCCUUGCUGUAAGGUGCAUCACAGUGUUGUGCAUUAGAGCAGUGUGGGCCACACAGGCAACUGGCAUGUUUCAAACUUCCACAGAUUUCUUGGCUUCAUUAUCAGGAGAAGUAUGCGAUCCCAUAGGUAAUGUUCAGUAAGAGAUGUAUCUGUCCUGCCCCGUCUCAGACUGAUCACGUUCUGCCCUCUGUCUCCUUGGCUGUAGGGCUCCUCUUCACUGGCUGUGAACUCCUUAAGUAAGGUUCCUGAUGUUCAUGUUUGUUCUCUAAGGUUGAGCACAGGGUCGGUCCCUGGAACAGAGCCGUUGCAUUGCAGUUGAACUUCUAGUAGCCAAGGCAAACCUCUGGACCCUCUGUGGUAGCACCAGGAUCCACCAACAGGCAACACAAGCUGAGGCCCGGAGGCUUCUGUGGGACCAUGUAUGAUUCCACUUCAUCUCCUGCAACCCUGUUGCUCUCCAAUAUGGCAAGAGGAGCAUUGGGUCUUCCUCCUUUGUUAAGACAUUUAUACCAGUUGAGCAAGAAGUCGGUGCUAGAGCGGCAGCAGCCGGUUUGGAGCGCAGUCUCUUCCUCAUGGAACCCUGGCCGGAUCACUGGUCUUCACCACCACUGUAAACUUCUAAAUUCCCUCUUGUUAAACAAAUUAGAGUGGGUUCAAGGUUAUAUUUUGAUAUUAAUAGUUUUACCCUCAUCGCCCCGUGAUCAAAGAGAAAAGGGUGAGGGGACAACUAUCAGCUGGAACUGUAGUACACUUUCCUUCUCUUACAGACCUAGUGCUUCCAAUGCGCCCUGCCUGUCUCUCCACACUCUCAAGGUCUUCUCCACUCAUCUUCUUGGCUGUGUGGAUUUGAAAACACACAGCGUUUGUCCGUAAUCUCAUCCUCAUCCACACUGACUGUGGAUAACCGGAUGUGUUUUGUGAGGCCCCUCAGUCUCAACAUGGUUUUACAGACUCGGUCCUAAGCAGAUAAAACAACUAAGCUUCACAGAGGUGAGGUAACUUCCUCUGCCAUCCAGGUGGAUGGUCAGGGUCAGGAGCCUCGUGAGUGAGAACAACAGGUCUGUCGAGUUCUGCAGGGCUGAGCUGUUUAUCAUUGCGGAGGACACUCAUCACUGUGCUAAUUACAUUAAUUGCUGCCCACUCUGAGGCUAGCUCCUUCCUGCAAUGGCCCAAGACUGUAAUUACAGGUUGGAUUGGUUGGAAGUUGGUUGCUCUCUACCAUGUAGGGGAAAGGUCAAGACUAUGAACAUUGCUCUUCAUCAGACGCCUUACUGGAAGCAGAGAGGAAGGAUGAGGGUUCCUGUGGUAAUCUCAUGAUUCUCUAGAAGCAGGUGCUCUCCUACCCUCAUUCUGUUUGAGGGAGCCUGGUCAGCUGCUUGGAGUCCAAGAGCUAGCGGGAGAGGAGACAGUCUGAAAGCAGGAACCAUCAGAAGUCAUCCUUAGUGCCCAUAACAUAGUACCCCUCACCAGGACACUGCUCUGUCUGACACUGAAGUAUUGGCAGGGUCGGGCAAGGUGCCAACAAGUGGGUUUUGUCUAUCCCUAAAUGAUGACUGCUUGAGAUCUCACCUGCUCUGCCUUCCUUCCUGAGAUUCCAAGAGAAAUUGCUUGGAAGUGUAUUAAAUGCAAACUAAGUCAGAUGUAAGCCAUGGUGUUUUUCUGUUUGAUCUGUUAAGAGGUAAUUUGGAGACUACUUCUGCAUACUUGUUGAACAG